ensembl:lncRNA
UUGGUUCCCUAUAAGCCUCACCUUCACAGGUGCCUCUCAGGUGGGCAUCCCUGCACACCUUUAUUCCUACCUUUAUUCAGCUGUACAGCAGGGGAGGGUCAGUCAUCUCCGACCCCUCCCGUAGCCUCCAUCCCUGCUGCCCAGCUGUGCGUGUCGCUGUCUCCAACGCUCCAAGGCACGCUGACCAGAAAGUGUGGACUCCCAGCCAAUGCUCCCUAUUCACUCACGCACACACACACACACAAAUACAACCUAUUGUCACUAAAGGGUUUUCUUCAUAAAUCUCUCCUGAAGGCUCUGACGUUAGAAAGCCAAUGUGGGAUGAUGAUAGCGUGGUGUGUGUGUGUGUGUGUGUGUGUGUGUGUGUGUGUGUGUGUGUGUGUGUGUUUAUUCCAGCAAUUAACGCACAAUGGACCUGCACAAUUGUUUACUCUGGCACUUAUACAGAGGGAGACAUGGUUGCAUCACACACACACACAUGCUGUACUGUUACAAAGAAACCUAAUCGCUGCACUACUGAUGAUGCAUGGUUCGAUGUAGAGAGUCUUAAAGCUGAACACGCUCUCUCUUUCUAUUGAUGUACAGGUAAUCACUGAAGCUUCACUGAAGUAACAGAGGGUGUGUUUACCAUCGAAGGUCCAUUGUGUUUGUCCAAAUGGGCUGUGCAAUUUAAGGAAAGGUUUGCUUUGUGUGUGUGUGUGUGUGUGUGUGUGUGUGUGUGUGUGUGUGUGUGUGUGCGCAGAGGGCUAUAAAAAAGGGUCCAGUAGAGGACCAGGAGUCUGAGUUAUAUUUUGUGUUCAUCAGACGUUUUGGUGCAUUUAUUUGGAUAAUCAGGGAUCAACAGCUCUAAUACACAGGUGAGGUAAGCUCACUGUGCUUACAGAAAUAACGUAUGUUAUCAUGAGAGGGUGUGUCAGUUCACACACCCUUCAGAUUUUGUCUGAUUGCUGCUGAAGCUGUCUGCAGGUCUGUGCAGUCAGCUUUGCUCUGUCUUUUCCUGGUUGACCUGCUUGUUGUAGCUCAUGAGGGUUUUUUGCCAACAGUGAUGUUGAAGCAGCCCAGUGGCCUUCUGGGGAAAUAGAGAAGGGGAGAGUCUUUAUUGCUUUUGUUGCCAAGUGCCUCUGUCCUGGAGAAUAGUAUUGGCAAAAUGAACACAAAUACCCUCUGUAUAGAAGUAGUUUUGUAGAGAUAAAAAAAUUGAAGGAUGUGGCUCAGCUUUCUUGCACUUAUUUUGGAUUAGCCCACAUAUAUUUUGUAUUUGAUUGUUUGAUGCUGCCACUACACUCUGGUGUUUAAAGAUUCACCUGUAACUGAGUCAUUGUGUCUCGGACAUGGAGUCAACUCAAUUCACUGCUUUGAAGACUUGAAUUGACUGUAAAUACAUGGAGAGUCAGCUUGGACUUGGAGGGUAAAGAGUUGUUACCUCACUCAAAAUGACUUGUCCGUGUUUUCAGUUCAGUUUUUCAGUUUUUUAUAGUCUGGCUGCAGUUAUUCACAGACUAAAAGUGAUGGGGAGGAUGUUUGGGGGCAUUGAGAAGAAUUUAAGAACUAAAUAAGGUUUUAUAAAGUUAUUUGUCGUUAUGUGACUUGCCCCAAAUAUGACAAAUGUGUGAGUCAGAUGUCUCUUUGCAACAAAUACAUUAAGGUCCAAGUGAGCUUCUUAUUUUCAAAUCUGUUAAUAGCGGCCCAUCCAGCCAAGAGUUUGAUCUUGUGUGACAGAUCAUCACUGUGUCAGCAGUGUCUCUUCAUUGUCAAGUCACACAGUAAUCUGGCAGUAAAGGUUAAGACCUGAAUGGGGCUUAAAGGCUUACAGGAAACCUGAGUCCAGCCUCCUCAUCCCCCUGUCUUACCUUCUCUGUCUGGAAAGAUGCUCUUUCUCCCCCGUCACUCUGUCUUUUAUUCUGUCUGUCAUUUUCCUCCAUAUCUUGCAUAUAUUAUUCAUGAUCAAUCAAAUGUUUCCAGGAGCCGUGUUAUAUACAGUGACUGUGACCCUCAUACCAUAUUGUUCGUAUAACUGUCAGUUAUAGCUUUUUGUCAUGCUAGUGGUAUGUCUCUCUGCAGUGGGGAUAAAAGUAACAGUAACAGUAAUAGUAUCUAGUCAAGUCCUGUUGAAUAAAUGAUAUUGAGGUACUUUACUUGAGUAUUUCAAUUUUCUUUCAACAUGGAAAUAUUGUACUUUUUUAAUCCACUUCAUGUAGUUGGCAGCUAUAGAGACUAGUUUCUUUUAAUUGUAAGAUACAAUUCAGUCAGUCAUCAUGAGAGAUUAAACUGGUGUUUUCUCACCUUUCAGGCUUUGAAAACAGUGUGAAGUUGUGGCAUCUCGUCCUCCAGUGCUACAGGCAGGUCAAAGUUUUAACAUUUCCUGUAUGAUAUCCUUGUGCCAUUUUUGGAAGUUUAUAUAAAAGUAUCCUAAACAUUUAUCCCAGUCUAGCCCAAAGUCAAUUUGAAGCUGUUUUUGAACCAUUUGGAGUACCGAUGUGGUUUUGGGCUCUUUUGAAAGGUGAUAAACUGAAUUUAUUUCCCAAGAAGAUCUGUAAAUAUUUCUGGCAUUAAUC